AGACUACCCCCUCCCCUUCCUCCUUACUCUGCCUUUCUUUUUCGGACCAGCUCUUGCCUUUACUGGACUCCCCAGUGGCAGCGUGGGCAUCAUGUCCUUCAACCCCACCAUCAUGCCACCUGCGAACGCCUCCGCCAACGGGACUGCCAGCGGGGCUGAGGGUGGGAAGCCCCCCACCAUCCCCACCAUCAUGUUCAUCUUCGGCGUGGUGGGCAACCUCAUAGCCAUCGUGGUGCUCUGCAAGUCCAGGAAGGAGCAGAAGGAGACCACUUUCUACACACUGGUCUGUGGGCUGGCGGUCACUGAUCUCCUGGGGACCUGCCUGGUGAGUCCGGUCACUAUUGCCACUUACCUGCAGAACCGCUGGCCAGGAGGACCGGCGCUGUGUGAGUACAGCUCCUUCAUCCUCCUCUUCUUUGGACUGUCUGGCCUCAGCAUUAUCUGUGCCAUGUCUAUAGAGAGGUACCUGGCCAUCAACCAUGCCUAUUUCUACAACCAUUAUGUAGACAAGAAACUGGCGGGGCUCACACUCUUUGCCAUCUAUGCUUCCAACGUGCUGUUCUGCGCCCUCCCCAGCAUGGGGCUCGGCAAAUCUACCUUGCAGUACCCUUACACUUGGUGUUUCAUAGACUGGCGAGCAAAGGAGGCCACCCAUGCGGCGUAUUCCUACAUGUACGCCGGCUUCAGCUCCUUCCUAAUCAUGGUCACUGUGAUCUGCAACAUCCUGGUGUGUGUGGCCCUCAUUCGCAUGCACCGCCAGUUCAUGCGACGCACGUCCUUGGGGACAGACACCACCUCCAGCCGUUUAUCUGACUUUCGCAGACGCCGGAGCUUCCGUCGGAUGGCUGGAGCAGAGAUCCAGAUGGUUAUUCUGCUCAUUGCCACUUCCCUGGUGGUGGUCAUCUGCUCCAUUCCUCUAGUGGUGAGUAACGUUGUGCAACCCUUCUUUUCCAUCACCCGCACCACUGAGUCUUUUCUCCUCCUAAUCUGUGCUUGCAGGACAGAUCCUAUUUAG